rnacentral:lncRNA from 13 species
AGACAGACCACCAGUUGAGAAAAGCUGGAACUAUUGAAGGAUAUGAAGACUGGUUUAUUAGAAGAAGGGAAAGCUACCUUACUCACGAAAAUGUCUUUGGAAGAAGGGAAGCCAGAUCCUGUCACAUAGAGGAUAAAAUAUUCGUUGCACCACCGAACUUAUGACAAGUGAUUUAUUUAUUCCAAUUAUGUUUGCACCCAUUGCUUGUGCGACAGCAUUGAAAAUAUUACAUUCUCCAUGGAGGUAAAAAAUGAUUAUUUCAGUGUAAUCUUUAGCUUUAUAUAUGUAUACAUAAAUCUUUUCCAUAACAAUAACUGUAUUACGUCCAUUUGGUAUUAAAUCUCGCACAUUGUUGACGCCAAAUUAAUUCACCUAGAAACAACGCAUGUAUUAAGUUAGAAAAAAA